AGAGUUUGAUCCUGGCUCAGGAUGAACGCUAGCUACAGGCUUAACACAUGCAAGUCGAGGGGAAACGACAUCGAAAGCUUGCUUUCGAUGGGCGUCGACCGGCGCACGGGUGAGUAACGCGUAUCCAACCUGCCCAUCACUUGGGGAUAACCUUGCGAAAGUAAGACUAAUACCCAAUGACGUCUCUAGAAGACAUCUGAAGGAGAUUAAAGAUUUAUCGGUGAUGGAUGGGGAUGCGUCUGAUUAGCUUGUUGGCGGGGUAACGGCCCACCAAGGCGACGAUCAGUAGGGGUUCUGAGAGGAAGGUCCCCCACAUUGGAACUGAGACACGGUCCAAACUCCUACGGGAGGCAGCAGUGAGGAAUAUUGGUCAAUGGACGAGAGUCUGAACCAGCCAAGUAGCGUGCAGGAUGACGGCCCUAUGGGUUGUAAACUGCUUUUAUAAGGGAAUAAAGUGAGUCUCGUGAGACUUUUUGCAUGUACCUUAUGAAUAAGGACCGGCUAAUUCCGUGCCAGCAGCCGCGGUAAUACGGAAGGUCCGGGCGUUAUCCGGAUUUAUUGGGUUUAAAGGGAGCGUAGGCCGGAGAUUAAGCGUGUUGUGAAAUGUAGAUGCUCAACGUCUGCACUGCAGCGCGAACUGGUUUCCUUGAGUACGCACAAAGUGGGCGGAAUUCGUGGUGUAGCGGUGAAAUGCUUAGAUAUCACGAAGAACUCCGAUUGCGAAGGCAGCUCACUGGAGCGCAACUGACGCUGAAGCUCGAAAGUGCGGGUAUCGAACAGGAUUAGAUACCCUGGUAGUCCGCACGGUAAACGAUGGAUGCCCGCUGUUGGUCUGAAUAGGUCAGCGGCCAAGCGAAAGCAUUAAGCAUCCCACCUGGGGAGUACGCCGGCAACGGUGAAACUCAAAGGAAUUGACG
rnacentral:rRNA from 1 species